AUGGGUACGGUGAUGGAGAGAAUCUCGUCCGCUGAAAGCGAAUUACAUGAAGCCUUUAUGAGUCUAUUGACAGGCUUUGAGGUGGUGGAAGCUUCGGUGGCUAGCCGGACUAGGGAGUUUGCCCAAUUAAAACGGCAAUUGGAUGCGGCAGACGCCGACAUCGAGCUUGUUAACAAGAGGCUUGACGAGGCACAUGAUGGAGCUGCCAUCGUGGAAGCCUUGCAGGCGGAACUUGCCCGAGCCAAGGAACAAGCGAGGAUUAGUAAUGCGGCUGCUUUGAAGGCAGCCGAAGAGUUGAAAGCCGAGAAGGCCGUACAUUGCGAGAGCCUGGAGAAGAUGGCCAAGAUGGUCGUAGAAUUAAAAGAGACUGCUGACCGUUGCUGGUUCCUCGAAAAAGAAAACCGAGCGAAGGCAACGGACCUUGAGAAGGCCGCGGUGGCGGACAAAGACACCCGUUCUGCUAUGAGAGUGAAGAAGGAGGAGCUGCGGGAAGCCGGGGAUAUUGCGGCUGGGAAACCCUUCAUGUUACAGAGGAAGUUCGGAGAUCCUCGGUAUGCCCCUCUGGAUCGGCAGUGGAGUUCGGCAGAUGCAUAUAUGGAUUUGCUGGCGAGCGCUGCCGAUGCGGCCAAGUACUUUCAAGGUCAGACAGAUCGUGAAGUGGACAAGCUGUUCUGGACGCAAUUUCACGUUCCAGAGCGUCCGCUUUCAUUGACUGACCAGCUAGCCGAAUGGGCCACUAGGUUGUCCGGACUCGCCAUGAGGUCUGUUGUGGAUCAGCUAUGGUCGGAAAGACCAAAGCCGAACAGCUAUUUCAGGUUAGUGCAUCAGUUUCUUAAUACGGUGCCGUGCAUUAAUGCGAUGAAGAGGUCGGCGUGCAUAGAAGGCUCGCGGAUGGCAUUUGCCCGUGUUAAAGCAUACUGGGCGGAGAUGGACGCUAUCACUGUUGCGGCGCAGGGAUCGGCCAUAGGCCGGGUGGCUGCCGAGCAAUAUUUCGAGGAGGUUCUCGAGGGUUCUCAUUUGAUAGAGGCCUAG
rnacentral:rRNA from 1 species